rnacentral:rRNA from 1 species
UACGUAGGGUCCGAGCGUUGUCCGGAAUUAUUGGGCGUAAAGGGCUCGUAGGCGGUUCGUCACGUCGGGAGUGAAAACUCGGGGCUUAACCCCGAGCCUGCUUCCGAUACGGGCAGACUAGAGGUAGGCAGGGGAGAGCGGAACUCCUGGUGUAGCGGUGGAAUGCGCAGAUAUCAGGAAGAACACCGGUGGCGAAGGCGGCUCUCUGGGCCGUACCUGACGCUGAGGCGCGAAAGCUAGGGGAGCAAACAGG